rnacentral:rRNA from 1 species
UACGUAGGGGGCUAGCGUUGUCCGGAAUCAUUGGGCGUAAAGAGCGUGUAGGCGGUCCGGUAAGUCCGCUGUGAAAGUCGGGGGCUCAACCCUCGAAUGCCGGUGGAUACUGUCGGGCUAGAGUGCGGAAGAGGCGAGUGGAAUUCCUGGUGUAGCGGUGAAAUGCGCAGAUAUCAGGAGGAACACCGGUGGCGAAGGCGGUGGUCUGGGGCCGGCACUGACGCUGAGGGAGCGAAAAGCGUGGGGGAGCGAACAGG